GCCAAACAGUAAGGGCAGCACUGGCGCUCUCCCUUUUCCGUGAAAGCCCAAGUCUCCUCAGACACGGAGCUGCUUGCCAUUUCUUUUGUUUCUGUUUUUCCCGAAUGUUCUUCACACUUCUUCACCUCUGCAGCCGUCAGCAGGGCCAGACUGUGAGGAUUCUGGGCAGCCCCUGGGCCCCCCCUGGGCCCCUCCUUCCCCCCUACAUGUGGGUACUGGGACGGCCACCUAGAUGGGUGUGGGGUGCGUGGAACCCUGCUGGCCCAGGGCGAGCCCUCCUCAUCCUCAGGGUGCAGUGGUGGGGUGCGCGGGGCCCAAGGGUGAGGGGUGCCCCCUCCUCCUGAGGGCCUGGCUAUUUUUAGAGCCGUGGCUGUGGCUCCUGGUUUCCCUUUCCCACUGUGUGAGUUCAUGUGCUGCGCCCUGGCUGCGGCCCUGCUUCAGCUGCACCGGACACUUAAGGAUAACGGGCUUCGUUUGGAUCUCAUGGCCCAGAAAAAUGCCUUUUAUUGUGGCGCGUCUCCUCCAUUUGCCUGAGUGUGUGUCCUGGCCACGGGGUAAGAGCCAGAGCCGGCCGGUGGGUCAACAGGGGCCGCCUCUGGGAGUCUUCCAGAAGACACAGAGUGCCCUGGGCGCAAUGAAACACACAUGAAAUGGGAUCCGCUCUGAGAGCCAGAGAAUGUUGGAGAAGAAUCUCUGCCUUCCAGGCCAGUCGUUCCAAGUGUGUUACAAACGACUACAUGCUCUGGGUCCUGAAUCCACGCCUGCUGUAGCUUCGAAAGAGAAGAAAAAAAAGUUGUUGACUCUAAAUUGUGGCCAGCGUCCCCCGCACACAUUUAGGGGCUGGGCUGGCUUCUCGAGCAGCAGGGCCUUGGUCCCGGCUGAGCAGUGCUCCCCCCGGAGCACCCACUGCUCUGCUCUGCUCUGGUGGCUUCUAGGAAGUGGAAAAAAGAAGCUCGAUGGUCUGAACGUGUUCAGGGCCCUGGAAGUGGCUUGCCUGGGAUUCGAACUCACAGUUCCAAUUUCUCGCGCUGUGCCACCUUCCUGCGAUUUAGGGCACAGGCUGGGCCAGUGGCUUCCUUCCCUUCGUCCUGUGAUUCCUCAACUUGUGUGGGCCUGA
rnacentral:lncRNA from 12 species